GAGUUAAGGUUACAACUGGUGCUGUAGAUGACCUGCAAAGUCAUUCAAUUUAAGGUUCAAUUCCUUCUUAACUCU
rnacentral:tRNA from 2 species